rnacentral:rRNA from 1 species
GACGAACGCUGGCGGCGUGCCUAAUACAUGCAAGUUGAGCGAUGAAGAUUGGUGCUUGCACCAAUUUGAAGAGCAGCGAACGGGUGAGUAACGCGUGGGGAAUCUGCCUUUGAGCGGGGGACAACAUUUGGAAACGAAUGCUAAUACCGCAUAACAACUUUAAACAUAAGUUUUAAGUUUGAAAGAUGCAAUUGCAUCACUCAAAGAUGAUCCCGCGUUGUAUUAGCUAGUUGGUGAGGUAAAGGCUCACCAAGGCGAUGAUACAUAGCCGACCUGAGAGGGUGAUCGGCCACAUUGGGACUGAGACACGGCCCAAACUCCCACGGGAGGCAGCAGUAGGGGAUCUUCGGCAAUGGACGAAAGGCUGAACGAGCAACGCCGCGUGAGUGGAGAAGGUUUUCGGAUCGUAAAACUCUGUUGGUAGAGAAGAACGUUGGUGAGAGUGGAAAGCGCAUCAAGUGACGGUAACGAAACAGAAAGGAACGGCUAACUACGUG